rnacentral:lncRNA from 1 species
UAGACCGUCGAUCGACAGGUUUUUCAGGUUGUCGAUCGAUGGUAGGUGUUUUAGGUCGAUCGACGUCAGUUCCGUACUGUCGAUCGAUUUCGUCCUCAAUAUCCGUAUCUUCUUCUAGUUCUAAGUCUAUUGCCUUUUCCUUAGCCUUUUCAGCGGUGGCUUUCCGGUUCUCUUGAGAUGGAUUUGGGUCAAGAUCGUUAAGAAGAAUAGGAUGAGAGUUGCUUUUUCCGGUCUUGUCGGCAUCGUCAGGUUUUCCAACAUCUGUGUUAUUCCUUGAUUUUUUUUUUUUUGACGUCGUGUUAUUCCUUGAUAUACCUUGGAUUUGACCCAUUUUUAUCCAUGGUAUAUAAGUAUUUUAUUAUAUAUAUAUCUCUAUGUUUUCUACUCUUCUAGGUAUGUUUUCAGGUUCAGGUGCAUUUCGGAAUAAAGCUAUGACUUUGGAGCAUUUAGAAGCUUAAAGGACAUUUCACCCGAGCUGACCACGUAGAGGUCGACGAGAGGAAGAACAAUCGAUCGAUGCGCA